rnacentral:lncRNA from 1 species
CCAAAACUCCUCUCUCUCUCCCUCUCUCCCCUCUCUCUCUCUCAUUAACCAGCCAUGGUUGUACACAUCCAUAGGCCAUUUUUGGUGAUCAUAUGCUUAGCAUUAAUGUUUUCGUCGUUUAAAAUGCACGUAGUUAUUGGCACGCGAGGUUUAGAUCAGGGCGUGGAUCACAGGGACGAGCCCACACGCGUGGUCGAGGCAGCAGAAGUGAAAGGGAAGAAGGCCGCAGCUAAGAACAUGGGAUUUGAUUCAAACCAAUCAAGCAAAAGGAGGGUUCCCAAAGGAUCAGAUCCUAUCCAUAACAGAAGUUGAGAUCAUAUGUGUUUGGAUUAAUUAGGGUUUUUUUUUAAGGUUAAUUUCUGCAUGCAUGCUUCGUUUUGGGUGAAUUGAUGUUUUUGAUGUAUAUAGUUUAGAGCCAAAGAUGAGGAGAAGAGAUCAUCAACGCCUAAGAUUUGGUCAGUUGGGAUUUUUAUUGUUUUCCUAGAUUAGUUUUAGUGGAUAUACUAUGUUUAAGGAUGUUGAUUUUGUGUUUUUAAUUGUUCCAUGUCACACGUUUAUUUGAAGCCAUAAGUUGUAAGAAGAAAAAUAAAACACUUUUAAUUUUAUUUUAUUUUUCAUUUGAGGAGUAAGAGUUGUGGAGUUUGAAUCAUAGACCUCACUAUUUACAAACAGAAGUACUUUGCACCGCUUGAAUGUCCCAUUAGCAAUUGGCGACAAAAAAAAAAUAUUAGUUUUAAUUAAUUAAUUAGCUUUCUUAUUAUGCAGCAGUGGAU